AGUGCAACUUAAGGUUGCCACAUAAGCUUUGAGGGCUAGCUGGGCAAGUUUCAGCAUUGUCCAUUGAAAAGACUUGAUUUUACUUUUUGUAGUGGUUGCCAAUCAAAACAAUGACGACGUAAUUGCAUUUGGCACGAAGGUUUAGGACUUUAGGUGCACUUCUUCUGUUAUGUGGGUGCCAAGGGGUGGUGAUGUUUUCUUUUAAGUUUUGCACUUGAAUUUCCUUAAGAUUUCUAUACAGAUUGCCUAGGGAAGAGGGGGAGGGAUGUGGGUGGGACGAUUUUUUUAUCAAUAAGUGAAUUUUAAACUUGAAUAUAGGUUAUUGCGGUUGAAUUAUAAAUAAAGUAUUGCACUUGACUUAUAUGUAUAUAUUUUUGUUUGACAUGAGCCACAACUCUCUUGGUGUCUUUUUUCUCACAUGCGAUGCUCCUUUUAACUUUCCCAAUUCCAUAGGAAAUGAAAUGAAAACAAUUUUCCGCUUCCAUUUCCAAAUUUUUUUAAAAGAUGUUUGGUAAGCCAAAAUGAGAAUUCUUGGUGGAAAGCACAAUUUUGAAAAUAUCUUUUGUGCUUCACUAAGAUAGUUUUGUUUUUUUUCCUAUUUUGACCAAAAGGUUAAGUUUUUUUUCAUAUAAAGAAUUCGAGAAAGUUUUAGAGAAGGUUCAUGUUCCUUACCAAUUCUCUGUGUAAGUAAAGUUUCUGGAGCUCACUUUCCUAUCCUCAACACCAUUCAGCUUUGCAUUGUAGCUCUGGGGGUGGGGGUGCGUUCUACUGCGAUGAAGGUGAUUUGUGUAAGGAAAGUUGACACAGCAUGUAUAUACCAAUGGCCAAUCAUUUUGGACAUGGAUGGCUUCUCUAUGAAGCCGUUUUCUGGUACAA